UCAAAGUCCAGUGUUGAUAAGCACUCCUCCAUAUGAUACUUUGACCAGGUUCCCCAGAGCUUCAGCUCCUCCAAAGCUCUCUGGUUGGUGAGACACUCCUGGCUCUGGGGUUGGUAAGCAGUAUAAUGGAAUACUGGUAGAUGCACUGACAGCUUCUUGAAGGAGGACCUUCAUGCAUUUUGCUGGGCCCAACAAUCAAUUCACAUCUAUGUGCUCUGCGAAAGGCCUUCAGAUGAAG